UACGAAGGGGGCUAGCGUUGUUCGGAUUUACUGGGCGUAAAGCGCACGUAGGCGGAUCUUUAAGUCAGGGGUGAAAUCCUGGAGCUCAACUCCAGAACUGCCUUUGAUACUGAGGAUCUUGAGUCCGGGAGAGGUGAGUGGAACUGCGAGUGUAGAGGUGAAAUUCGUAGAUAUUCGCAAGAACACCAGUGGCGAAGGCGGCUCACUGGCCCGGUACUGACGCUGAGGUGCGAAAGCGUGGGGAGCAAACAGG
rnacentral:rRNA from 1 species